GACCCGGAGCCCGGCCAAACGCGGCCCGCGGGCCCCCGACGCCCCUCCUCACCUGAUCCCCCUUGCCGUGCACGUGUCCCGGGCUUCCCGUGCCCAUCAGGCUCGGGCUUCCGUGCACAGGUUUAAAAAAAAACCCCACCGGUAAAGACGGGCGCAGUUUCUGCUAGGAAAGCGUAACUCAGCCCCUCGCCUUCACCUGCAGCCCUGCUCGGGACUGAGCUUCCCGCUGCAGAUCCCCGCAGCCGGCUGCCAGCACCGCUGGCACCAAGCCCAUCUCCGCCCGUGGGACUUCUCAGCCUCCUCAUUUCAUCUCCCUUCAGAGCGCCGGCGGAGCUCCGGGAGGACCCGGCUAGGCGCAGUGAGGCCGAGGAGAUGAGCCGAUGCUCCUCAUAGGCGUGGGCGUUCCCCUGGGAUUCCUGCUUUUUCCACCCGUCCACAGUACGCAUCCCAAACCCCGUUUGGACGUUGCCAAGUCAGCGCUGAGGUCCCCGGUGCUGUUUGAACACGCCGUGGGGACUGAGUGGUUGGUCACUGCAGCCUGCCGACAUUACCCACUGCACCAUUUCGGGUCAAAGCUCUGGUUUAGCUAUCGUGCUAUUGGAAGAGGUUGCCAUGGCCUUCAGCCGAAGUGACCUCUGUCUAGCAAAGCACCUGGUGGUAAUUUCACUAAUGAGCAGAGUAAGCAUCAACCCUGAACUAGAUUUCAUGCAGAGUCACCUCAAGCAGUCUGCAACUUGCUUCCCCAGUCCUUCUGGACCAGCCACAGUAGAGCCUGGGAAGAAAUUCUGCCGGUGAUUCUCAGAGGUAUCUGGUCAGUUCCCAGAGCUAAUCCAUGAUGAAGACGUGGCAGGACACUUCCAGGGGAAUUUGCUGCCUCAUACAGCGUACUGGAGCUGGGAUUCAGACACUUUUUUUUUUGCUAUACUGUGCAGUAACUCCCAGCAUAGGAGACUGAACUUCUGUCAGCACAGACUGUCAAACUGAAGGACUAAAGCACAGACUGGGAGUUGUGCUAGAGAGUUAACUUCAUGUCCUUAAACUUGCAAGUGUCAUUGUAUGAUAGAUCCCAAAUACUGAGUACAAACACAAAUAUUUACACAGGAGAUUAGAAAUAAAUUCCUUCAAAGGCAAACGUAUAGAUAAGUUCGUGUAAGCUGUAGCAACUAUUCCUGCAAGAUUUGAAAUAGCAUGAAUGACAGCUGUGGCUGGAUCUAUUCAAAAGCAGUUUUGUUUGGGAUUUUUGUUUUUUUCAUUCUCUUCUGAGGACUAGGCAGAUAGUCAGGGUGGGGUAUUUUGCAAUUUUUGAACCAUGCACACUGAAGCAGGAGCCCAGGUGUAAGACCAAUAGACUUUUUAAAAUGGUUUCAUUGUGCUGUCUGCUUGGUGUUUUUUAAAAUACAUUUACUGAAGAUUUAUGUAAAAUCUAUUUUUUGUCUACUUAAAAUAUGUCAAAUGGAUGUGCAGGGCAAAAUCUAAUGUAUAUGAGUUUCAAUUAUUUUAAAUCAUUUGCAAUAUAAAUGACUUACUAUGA